rnacentral:rRNA from 1 species
AUUGAACGCUGGCGGCAGGCCUAACACAUGCAAGUCGAACGAGUGGCGGACGGGUGCGUAAUGUCUGGGAAACUGCCUGAUGGCGGGGGAUCACUACUGGACACGGUAGCUAAUACCGCAUCCCAUCAGAUGUGCCCAGAUGGGAUUGGCUAGUAGGUGGGGUAAAGGCUCCCUAAGGCGACUAUCCCUAGCUGGUCUGAGAGGAUGACCAGACACACGGGAACUGAGACACGGUCCAGACUCCUACGGGAGGCAGCAGGGGGGAAUAUGGCACAAUGGGCGCAAGCCUGAUGCAGCCAUGCCGAGUGGAGGAAGAAGGCCUGCGGGGUGUAAAGUACUUUCAGCGGGGAGGCGUUACCCGCAGAAGAAGCACCGGCUAACUCCGUGCCAGAAGCCGCGGGAAUAC